rnacentral:tRNA from 1 species
GCGCCUGUAGCUCAAGAUGGAUAGAGCGGGGGCGUCCUAAGCCCACGGUUGGCCGUUCGACUCGGCCCAGGCGCACCA